UUGCACACGCCAUUAAUCUAAGUCUCUCUCCCGCAAGAGAAAUUAUACAUGUGUGCGAGAGAGGUCUCCGUCUUCGCCCUCUUCUUCUCGCCUGUCCUGCCUCAUAGUAUUCUUUGCUUAGGGUUUUGAUCAUGGAAAGACACAGAGGAGACCAUCAACGGCAUCACGAGCUUCAGCAUCCCAACUUUAACCAGCACCACCCCGACCAGAACCAAUUCAACAACCACAACCACAGCCAUUAUAAUUACGACUCUAAUCAGCAGAUGAGUGGUGAAGCUAACGAGCCAUUUAGUGGUGGAUUAUUCCGCCCCAAUGGCCGCAAAAGAGGCCGAUUCCAUUCUUCAGAUUACGGUGAUGGUGGUGUUAAUGCAAAGCUUUAUGUCGCACCAAUUCCAAGAACAACGACUGAAGAAAAUAUCCGCUCUUUGUUUGGAGAACAUGGAAGUGUUGUUGAGGUUGUUUUACCCCGGGAUAAGCGGACUGGGCAGCAACAAGCAUAUUGUUUUGUGAAAUACACAACAUUUGAAGAAGCUGACAGGGCUAUUAGGGCUUUGCAUAAUCAGCAUACGAUUCCUGGGGAAGUGGUUCCAUUUAAAGUCAGAUAUGCUGAUGGAGAACGGGAACGGGAACGCCCAGUUCCCCGCUGUUCCGUGGUAGGGGGAUUUGUGGACAAGCUCUAUGUUGGUUCUAUAAACAAGCUGGCUUCAAAACAGGAAAUUGAGGAGAAGAUAUUUUCUCCAUAUGGUUAUGUGGAAGAUGUCUACAUUGCACGUGAUGAGCUGAAGCAAAGUCGUGGAUGUGCAUUUGUUAAGUUUGCUCACAGAGAUAUGGCACUGGCAGCAAUCAAAGGAUUAAAUGGAACUCUUACCAUGAGAGGGUGUGAUCAGCCAUUGAUUGUUCGUUUUGCAGAUCCCAAAAAACCUAAGACUGGAGAAUUAAGAGGCAGUUAUGCAUUUGGUGGUCCAAAUUUUGGUCCCUGCUUUCAACAACCAAUGAUCAGGCCAGCACCUGGGUGUGUUUUGCCUAACGCUUCAUUUUCUAUGCAACAAACCUCAACGACUGGAGUUCCACAAGCUGUUGCCCAUGCAGCAAAACAGGAACUUGCAUCUCCUCAUAUCACAGAGCAACCACUUUCUUCAGUAAAGCACUCGCCUUCACAGUUGUCUCAGAUGCCACUACAGCAUAUGCAGGCUCCAGAGAAAUGUUUUCCAUCACCUCAACAAACAAUUUUUGAGACACAUAAACAGACCCAAAUUUUAGAGCAGCAGCAGAAUCAACAGAUUGCCCUGCAGGAGCAUGUUUUCCUGCAGCCAACUUGGGCUGGAAACACUCAACCAGCUAGUUGUAACUCUGUCACCUCUGCAGUGCCUCCCAGUCCCCAAAUCGUGGAUCCAGGAGAGUGUGAUUGGAGUGAGCAUUUCUGCCCAGAUGGAUACAAGUACUAUUAUAAUUGUAUCACCAAUGAAAGUAGAUGGGAGAAGCCUGUGGAGAUCACCUUAUUUCUGCAACAAUUCCAGGAACAGAAAAGGCUGCAUGGUUCAAACCAGCAAUCUUCCCUCUCGCCAGUUUGUUCUGCUGAGGAAGUUGAUCAAACACAUAAGGAACUAGAUCGUAUGCAAAUACAAUCAGAAACAAGUCCUGUUAUUGAUCCCUCCUGUGUUUAACAGGAGAUUAGGUUGCUCAAAGUGGCUGUCUGAAGUUAUUUCUUUGGUUUUAUCUAUUCUUCUGAGUUCUGCCUCCCUAAUAUUGUCAGCCUGGCAAGUAUUUCAGAUAACAGGAUUUAGCUGUAAGCUUCAUAUUUCAUGCGUGGAAGGUCUUGGAGGUUCUGGAUUUAUGGCCUUAUUCUGUAGAACUGUGGACCUCUGAUUAAAUGUAAAAACAUAUUUGAGGCUAUCAUCUUCCCUUCAUUUCUCAUGUGACCAUUUGUAGAUGUGCACUUCUGGAAAUCAGGCAUCAUAAGUAGCAUUCCUAGGAGAACUAGUGGAAAGCAUAGAUGGCAUGCAUUUGGGUAUUUAGUGAGUUAUUCUGAGUACAUCUUCCAGGAAUACAUAAUUUAGUUGUUUCUUGCUGAGUUUGUGGCCUACGUUGCUGUGAAGGGCAUUGCUACCUGAUAUUCCCUCCCUGGCUGCAGCAUUGUGCACUUUUAAAGCUUCAGUACUGAGUCGGUAGGUGUCGUCAAGAGUAAUGUAAUCUUCAAUAACAUGUAAAUCAAAUUGCCUUUAUAACUGUACACUUUGCUGUAUGAAACGAUGAGAUGAGUUGAUGGCAAGUUAUCAUGUGUGUAUGCUUUUAAGGCUCUGAUAAUGUAUAACUAUUGAUGGAAGGUUGAGGCAAGAAGGUUUAUGAAGGUUUCUUGGAUCAUUAAU